rnacentral:lncRNA from 1 species
ACAGGUUGGCCCUUGUCAUUCCUGGCCCUUCAGACACCUCCCCACUCCUUCCAGUAGAUCUGGGCUUCCUCCAUCCUCCUGAGCAGGUUCUUCCUCUAUAGCCUGUCUUUUGUAGGCUAGAUUUACUGAGUAGAUCCUCACCCAGCCUGAAAGAGAAAAUUAAGAUCCAAUAAACACAUACCAUUUCUAUAUGAUCCUUCUUUGGAAGCAGGAGUAGACACUGCAUUUGGGAGCCACCUCUGCUUCCAGAACACUUGUCUCUUCCAAGAGCUGGAUUCAGUAUCAAAAGGUGGGUAGACAGAGCACAGGUGUUUGUAUAGAUGCCUGAUCUUUUUGGAUGUGUCCAUAUGGAAGAUACAAG